rnacentral:tRNA from 1 species
GCGCCCGUAGCUCAAUGGAUAGAGUACUGCCUCCGAGGCAGGGGUUGCUGGUUCGAUCCCAGCCGGGCGCGCCA